AGCUCAUUGACUGGAUUACACAACCACUAGUUUCUGAGACUACUAGCGAAAGCACAAUGAUUUGAAACAAAUGCACAAAAUGAAAGAACAUGGAGAAAAGAUUCAGCAGUUCAUGGCUUUUCAGUGGGGAUUUGUUCCCAUCUCUCUUGUCUUCAAUGGACAAUAGGAAAAACCUCAUACCUGGGAAGUAACAGCAACAGGGUUGUGACAUUAGACAACCUCAAAUCCCAAGAACAGAAAGCAGAACAGAUUCUGGCUGAAUCUGUGUUAAUUCUGAAGGUAUCAGUCAACUUCUGUAUGCACAGCCCUCCUAAUGGAAGACUAGCGAGAAACAUCAAAGAAGCAAAGUAUAUUUUGUUCCACCAUCAACUUUAACAGGGAAGAAAAACCAGAACAGAGCAGAAAAAAAAUACAUUUGGAGAAGAAAAUUGGAACCAGCUGCAAAGAUGUAAAACAUUCUUUUUUGUGUGUUUUUACUUCAUUCAGAGUUGAACUAUGUCAUCCAGCUUGGCAGCUUUGCACAAAUAAAAACAGAGUAUUCUUCCUUAUCCCUCA
rnacentral:lncRNA from 1 species